rnacentral:rRNA from 1 species
GACGAACCGUGCAAACGUUAUUCGGAAUCACUGGGCUUAAAGGGCGCGUAGGCGGGCCGCCCGGUCCGGGGUGAAAUCCUCCAGCUCAACUGGAGAAGUGCCUUGGAUACCGGCGGCCUCGAGGGAGGCAGGGGCGUGCGGAACUUCGGGUGGAGCGGUGAAAUGCGUAGGUAUCUAGAGGAACGCCUGAGGCGAAAGCGGGGCACUGGGCCGAUUCUGACGCUGAGACGCGAAAGCGUGGGGAGCAAACAGG